UUGCUCGGAGGACUUGGCAAGUGGUGCUGCUCUGCCUUCUGCCCCAAGGUGGGAUGCUGACAGGAGGGGAGCUCCUGCGGGGCGACCCACAGCCGUACAGGGAAGAGAUCACAGCUCUGUCCUCCAUGACCAGCCCGGGAGCCCAAGAUGCAGAAGGAGAGGACAAAGGCAAAGUCUCACUCCCCAGAGGAUGUAAAAGCAAAGA